UACGAAGGGUGCAAGCGUUACUCGGAAUUACUGGGCGUAAAGCGUGCGUAGGUGGUUUGUUAAGUCUGUUGUGAAAGCCCCGGGCUCAACCUGGGAAUGGCAAUGGAUACUGGCAAGCUAGAGUGCGGUAGAGGGUAGUGGAAUUCCCGGUGUAGCGGUGAAAUGCGUAGAGAUCGGGAGGAACACCAGUGGCGAAGGCGGCUACCUGGACCAGCACUGACACUGAGGCACGAAAGCGUGGGGAGCAAA
rnacentral:rRNA from 1 species